GUAAAUAAAAGCUGAGAAUUUUUUUUCUCCACCACGAUGCCUCUUGUACAUCAUCUUAUUAUCUUUUGGGAAACACCGGUGUCAUUUCCAAUCAAAAACAAACUUGCUGGUUGAAUAAAAGUAACUUUAAGCCAAAAUUUGCUUAGGGGUAUGAAUAAUUUAUAUAAAUAUAUAUCAGUUGAAAAACAAAACUACAUAAUAUUAAUAAACGUGUAUAUAUUAAUUUUAAUGAAACACAUGUAUAUGUAUAUAUAUUCAUUUUUAUUAGACUGUUAUUUAAUUGUAUUUUUUUCUUCUUCUUUAAUUACCAGUGGUAUUUCCUAAAGUUCAUUCUUUUAACUAACCCUGCUUUUGUCUUUUGGUUUCUCUUUGUGUCGAUCCUGGUGCUGUAAGUUGGCCCUGACAUAUUUGGAUUUAUUAUCCAACUCACUCCAGUUUUUGUGUGUGUGUUUGUGUACUGUAUUUGUUUUGAAAUAACUUUGAUCAGUUGAAUCGUUUUUCUUAGAUUUGGAAUUUAAAAAUGUGUACCUGGACAGUUAUAUAAAUUUUUCCUUCAUAAAGUUAUGAUUUUAUCUUUUUUUAUUUGAGCUGAUUUAUUGUAGGCCCCCUUUAAUGGGGUAUUUCAUGCCUUGUGCAAUUAUAGAUCCACAUGCAGGAUGUUUGCCAUCCUGUAUUAAUUUUUUUACUUGAAGCAACUCACGUUGUGCUUUGCAGAAAAAAAUUCAACAAGUCAAAGUCUAACACAAGAAAAGGUAACAAUAAAUGAUGCACAAACACGGGCAUAAGGAUUUGACAGGUAGCUAUAAAUCAGAGCACGAUUGAGGUUUUGCAGAUUUCUUCAGCGUUUUAUAGAAAGGGCAAGUUUGUUUUACAGCUUCACAUCUCAACUGGCAAAGCCCCAUUUGCCUCAAGUGUUCUAAGAAGCCGUCUGAGGGCGUGUUGUGGUGUGUAAGCGGCCGCUUGUGUCGAGAUCACUGCGUUAUCACUCCGUGCAACAAGUGUUCCUCAGAACAGAUGUGCAUGCUUGGAGGAAAACCCAUUUAUCACACUUUUCAGAAAUCCAGAUCCAGCGAUACUGUUAGAUUUAUGUUUGAAGUGAGAUCUUGACCGACAUCAUACUCCCAAAGCAGUGUCCCACCUCCAUUUACUCAGCUGCUUUCACAAACAUUCCCACAGUGACGGGCUCCUAUUUGUUACAGAUAUCCAGUAGCAUUGUGGGAAGUUCCAGGUUGUAUUGGGAAUUCUGUGACAAACAAGGCAGUAAAUAAAGCUGGAUAGACAACAGUGAGCCUCACAGCAGCUCUUGGAAUUGCAAAUACUGCUUCAAUUCAGUCAACAGUAAGAAUUAGAAUGAGAAAUAUACUAUAAAUAUGUAUUUGGGGAGAACAUUUUGACACUUCCAAGUGGGUAUGUGUUUAGAAUUAUUACAUAAUUCCUGGAAAAAACAUUGUAAUCUGGAACCAUGUAAUGGGAAAGUAAAAAAAUGGAGUCGAAACUUUAUUCUUUAUGUUUGAUGACGUGUGCGUCUUCCCAACAAAGAUAAUGGUACCAACAUUAUAGGGUUCAUUUCAAUCACAGUUCUUCGUGAAUGUUGGCUUAAAAUUAGAAUGUUUUCCAUCACUGUGAUCCAUCAUCAUGAGUGUCAUUCUUGCUUCACGUCUUUCUCCCAAUUCUUUGCUAAGCAUUUUCUCAAAAAUUGGAUUUAUUGGUGCAUCUGGGGAAAGGUGUGUGGUCCCGCAGAUUCACCCAGAGCUCCUAAACAAAACCACACGCUGCCAAAACAGCAGGGGGGAAAAUGUGAAGCAGCCAACGAAGAACUGUUGACAUGGCAAAGAGAAAUGAAAGGGGUAGGGUUAAGGUUGGGGUUAUGGGUUGGGCCAUGGUUAGGUUGGGGGAUGACUCAACUCUCCCGAGGGGGGUGUUGGGGUAUGCACAGGGACUGCAUCGUUCUCAUUUGUGUACCUUUUUCUUCUUCCAGGAUGCCUGCUGGUCAGCUAGUCGUCUGUGGAAGAACCAGAGGAAUCAAGGUCUAGAGGUCCUGUCUGCAGUCAAGGUCAUGGCUGGUUGAUGAGGAGGCAACCCUUUCCCACGUCAGUCUGGGUCAGAGCCAACCAUAUUCAAGACUUAGUGCAGUGUGCCAGUCCAUCACCAACGAGGAGACAAACUCAAACACCCACACGUCUGUGGGAUGUCUGGGCCCAGAGGGGACCACUGCUUCCUGAAGGGCCUCUAAGAGGAGAUAAGUGGGUGGUGGUGAUAUCAAAGUGCAACAAAAAUACAGUUUUUAGGUGAUUUCUAUGUUUGCAGUUCAAAUUCUAACAAAAACGCACUAGAAUUGAAGGAAGUUCUCUCUGCAUCAGUAUGAAAACACACUAUUAUGUGUUGGAAAGUUCUGGAGCUGUAAAGGAAACCACAAUCAAAGCAUCAAGUUGUCUGAUUCUUUCUAACUUUGGCCUGAACAUUAGGGUGAAGCCCUGUCGUCUCCUCCUGCGUCAUCCAGCCAUGUUUGCUGAGGUUUCCGUCUGGGAUGAGGAGACUUUUCUCUUCCUGACGUUCUUCCCCCGCAUAGACAUUUCUGUCGCCGGGUUAAUUUCCCACUACAAGACGGACGACAAACACACAUAACCUCCAACAACCCUCCUGAAAGCGGAGAAGGGUGUGCACCUUCCGGAGAUGAAAGGAGAGACGAGAGAGGGAUGUUGGGACCUCGAAGGUCAGACAGAAAUCACCAGAACCCUCUUCCAUCUAAAGAGGACUUUGUUGCAAUAUUCAGCGAUGAGUAAAGAUGAGAUGCUGUCAUCCUCCUCGAAAAGAUACAGCAUAUUUACCCAUUUAUCAGCCACACACACACACACAGUUUAGUGCACACAGAUUGUACAAGUAUGCACGUCUGACAGAUAACAAUAUCAGCUCUUGCCUGGGGCUUGUAUGUUCCACCUGAUAUUCUUUGUCUUCUACUCAAGGAAAAAUAUCGGUUUUGUGCUUUACCCACUCUGCCAGUGUAAUAGAAUUUCCAAGAUAAUAGCAUUUGUGGGAAAACGGAGACCUUAUCUUCCUUUCCAAACUCAAAUGAAUGAACGUGGCAGGGAUGAUGUCAUCACUAAUGUGAUAAGCCAAAACAGUUGUCUUCAUACUGCGAAACCUGUGACGGCAUACGGUGACUCAGACCGAGCGAAACCGAAAGAAGCCACGAUCGUAGAGAAAGUAAGAACACACAUUGUUCUCGUACUCCGGGUAUUGUAACUGUGCUCUACAGUGUGCAUUACAGAAUAUGUGCAUUCUGUUGACUUGUACUUUAACCUGUGUGAAUUAUUGAUGAUUAACAGAACUAUUUUCUAUGGUGUGCUGAGUUCAAACCACACAGGAUUCAGUAUUGUGUGGUCAGAUCAGAAUCCACAUGACCUUAACCGGAUCAACACAAAAUUUGAAUGGAGUCUUCCCUGGGCCAAGAUCCUUUCAUGAAGAUCCAACAAGUAGUUUCCGAGAAAUCCUGUCCACAGACACGCACACAGACAGACAAAUAAAUAAACGGACCCGAUCGCAUAACCUCCUUGGCGGAGGUAACAAGCGAAGAGAAAAAAACUGAUUAAAACUCAAAAACAUUUACAAAAAAAACAUUUAACAUGUGUGACAAAGUGGGUGAGAAUUGUAAUUUCACCUCACCACUUGUCCCUUAAAACAUUCACAUUACACAACACUAGCAUCUUUUGUCUAUUCUGUUUUAAUUUAACCGUGCCAUUGUAACAUUUUAGCACUUACUAUCCCGGGUUUGUUUGUGUUAAUUGUUGCAGUUUACAUCCAUGAGUUAAAGGAAAACACACAGCCAUUAUUAGUUUCAGUUAUCCUUUAUUAAGUUACAGGUUAAAUGUUGAUGAAUUGUUUGUUUCUUUGUUCAUACUUACCUUUGUGUGUUCCUUUGUUCUGGUUCAUCAUGUGGAACUGGUGUUUGGAAGGAGGCCGGCCCACCACUUCCUGAUUUUAUAGUGUUGCUGAUGUCAGAGUGACAUCAUUGGACCAGACCAUGUGGAGGGUUUUCUUUUCUUUGGAUUAAUGUUUCUUUUGUUUUACAAAGCAUCCAGUAGCAAUGUUUUUACAUGUACCCGUGUAGAUAAUCAUUUAAACAUUCGUAGAAGUUGGUAGUGUCUAUGGCGAUGGUGUUAAGCGAGUUGUUGUCAGCUAGGUGAAACAGUAGGUCACCAUGUUGUAUUGUGGUAGAACCCAGGUGGAUAGGUGUCAAUUGAAAGCCCUAUAUAAGCAGUUAAGCUUUGCUGCCUCAAGGGAGAGGUGAGGUUGUGCUGCUACAAUGUGAGGUUUUUUUUUUUUUUUCCUCUCUCUUUCUUUUUCUCUUUCUCUUCCCCUUCCCCUGUUGUGUUGCUACAAGAAUUAUUUUGAAGUUAAUUUUCUUUGAGAAUUAUUUGUAUUGUUUUGUAACUUUGAUUGCACAAAAAUGGAGAAGCACGGCAUAAUAAAAUCUGCACCUC